rnacentral:lncRNA from 1 species
CGCGCACGUUGGAAUCGAAGAGAGCUCUGUUGUUGCAAUGUUCAGCCCACAAGAGCUUACAGGUGAAGGAAUGGGACAAGACCCAUCUUUAUGCAAAGCCAGCGUUACAGUAAUGUUCCAGCAUCUCAUAAUCUAUCCUGAGGAAUUCAGCUGCCUCCCAGGGUGAAUACAGGUAUUUCUGAUGACAGUCUGCCUCUAUCUUACAGUACUACUAACCAAUAACCUGCUUGGCUCAAAGGGCCAGCACCUUCUCUCUAAAGCCCAAGAGGAGUUUGAGGAAAACUAGGUGUCUCUGUUCACUCCAGGCUGAAGUUACAGGUUUGAGGAAAGGUGUAUAAAAAAUGGAAUCUGUCUUGGAGGACAUCAGAAGUUGAAUUUUCCAAGUCCUUGGACAACCUAGCUGUUGAAAAGCUUUCUGGAUUUGGGGGGUCUUUCAGAUGUACCUUAAAGUGUUAGCAGACACAGAUUAAGACACUGGGAGCCAAUGAAACAUAGCAGUUGAGGGUUUGCUAUGUAUCACAUUUCUGUAUUUUAUCACCUCCUUCCUGCAACAUUAUUUCUGUGGAAUCUACCUGCCCUUUUGUUUUUUAGAUACAAGGGCUUGGUUUUGUUACCAAGGCUGGUUUCAAGGCCCUAGCUUUAAGAGAUCCUCCCACCACAGAUUUCCAAAGUGCUGGGAUUGCAGGUAUGAUUAGUGGCACCCAGACUUUGCUGCCUUUCUUACAUGAUCAAGGCCCGGAACCCAAACUCAGGCACUGCAUAGAUGACCAGUUUGGUAAACUACUGACCUAGCUUGUUGCCAAUUGUGAUUGAGCUUCCCAUAACUCCACUUCGUUUCUGUUUCUCUGUAUACAGACACCUUCUAUUCCCAUCAUGAGCCUUUAGGUCUCCAUUUGCAUAUUGCAAAUACUAUGUUCCGUGUAGGUAGCUCAUUCAGUGCCUUGCUCUUCACUUCAAAAAAGGUUCCCUUGAGGACUGGCUGUCAAUUUGUGUUGCUGUGUUGGUUAAUGAAAAUAAUAAAAUGAUUGAUUAC